rnacentral:miRNA from 1 species
AAUACUGGUAUAUAUAUAAAUUCCAGUGUGUGUGUGUGUGUGUGUGUAUAUAUAUACACACACACACACACACACACUGGAAUUUAUAUAUAUACC